rnacentral:rRNA from 1 species
UGAGUAGGCGGUUGUAUAUGUCAGGUGUAAAAGGCUAUGGCUUAACCAUGGUUAGCACUUGAAACUGUACGACUUGAGUGCAGGAGAGGUAAGUGGAAUUCCUAGUGUAGCGGUGAAAUGCGUAGAUAUUAGGAGGAACACCAGUGGCGAAGGCGACUUACUGGACUGUAACUGACGCUGAGUCACGAAAGCGUGGGUAGCAAACAG